rnacentral:rRNA from 1 species
GGAAUAUUGGUCAAUGGCCUAACGGCUGAACCAGCAACUUGCAGGAAUGAGAGUUAAUAUAAAUGAUGUAUUAACUUGCUUGACUAGGUCUUAUAAAGUUCUGGAUAAAGCUGAUAAUGACAACUUUAUAUCCAUAGGUCUCGACUAAAUCUUGUGCCAGCAGUCGCGGUAAGACAAGGGAGACGAGUGUUAUUCAUCUUGAACAGGUAUAUUGGGUACCUAGACUGUGUAUUUAGGCUUUUAUAGUACCUACUACACUAGAGUUUAAUAUGUGAGAGGAAGAUGUCAGAAUUGUUGGAGUAGAGAUGAAAUCCUUUAAUACUAAUAGGACUGAUAAUGGCGAAGGCAAACCUCUAUGUAUAUGUACAUUUUUUUACUUAAAUAUCGGUUUAUACAUAACAUGUAGAGCGAAAAAAAAAGUAGAAAAGAGUACAGAACUGACGUUGAGGGACGAAGGCUCAGAGAGUGAAGAGGAUUAGAUACCCCCGUAGCCUGGGCAGACAAUGAUGAGUGCCAUAGGUUGGCUUUUAAGUUGAACUAUAAAUGAAAGUGGAAGCACUCCACCUCAAGAGUAAUGUGGCAACGCAGGAACUGAAAUCAUUAGACCGUUUCUGAAACCAGUAGUGAAGUAUGUUAUUUAAUUCGAUGAUCCGCGAAUAACCUUACCACAAUUUGAAUGCUCUAAAUUUUAUAUAGUAACUGUUUGGUUCACACACAUACAUCAAUACAACCACGAAAAACAGAUAGCCAUAGGCUAUAAUUAUAUAUUUAGACCACAUGCGUUGCAUGGCUGUCUUCAGUUAAUGUCGUGAGAUUUGGUUAGGUCCAUUAAAUUAACGUAAACCCUUGUCUUAUUUAAUACAAUAAGGCAGCUCUCCGCUUACAAUUGGAUAUGAUAACAGGGACUAAGACAAGUCAUCAUGGCCUUAAUAUUGUGGGCUAUA